rnacentral:rRNA from 1 species
GUGCCAGCAGCCGCGGUAAUACAGAGGGUGCAAGCGUUAAUCGGAAUUACUGGGCGUAAAGCGCGCGUAGGUGGUUCGUUAAGUUGGAUGUGAAAUCCCCGGGCUCAACCUGGGAACUGCAUUCAAAACUGACGAGCUAGAGUAUGGUAGAGGGUGGUGGAAUUUCCUGUGUAGCGGUGAAAUGCGUAGAUAUAGGAAGGAACACCAGUGGCGAAGGCGACCACCUGGACUGAUACUGACACUGAGGUGCGAAAGCGUGGGGAGCAAACAGGAUUAGAUACCCUAGUAGUCC